rnacentral:rRNA from 1 species
CACGUAGGGUGCGAGCGUUGUCCGGAAUUAUUGGGCGUAAAGAGCUCGUAGGCGGUGUGUCGCGUCGGCCGUGAAAACCUGGGGCUUAACUCUGGGCGUGCGGUCGAUACGGGCAUCACUAGAGUUCGGCAGGGGAGACUGGAAUUCCUGGUGUAGCGGUGAAAUGCGCAGAUAUCAGGAGGAACACCGGUGGCGAAGGCGGGUCUCUGGGCCGAUACUGAC